AGUGAACGCUGGCGGUAGGCCUAACACAUGCAAGUCGAACGGCAGCACAGUAGGAGCUUGCUCUUACGGGUGGCGAGUGGCGGACGGGUGAGGAAUACAUCGGAAUCUACUUUUUCGUGGGGGAUAACGUAGGGAAACUUACGCUAAUACCGCAUACGACCUACGGGUGAAAGCAGGGGAUCUUCGGACCUUGCGCGAUUGAAUGAGCCGAUGUCGGAUUAGCUAGUUGGCGGGGUAAAGGCCCACCAAGGCGACGAUCCGUAGCUGGUCUGAGAGGAUGAUCAGCCACACUGGAACUGAGACACGGUCCAGACUCCUACGGGAGGCAGCAGUGGGGAAUAUUGGACAAUGGGCGCAAGCCUGAUCCAGCCAUACCGCGUGGGUGAAGAAGGCCUUCGGGUUGUAAAGCCCUUUUGUUGGGAAAGAAAAGCAGCGGGUUAAUACCCCGCUGUUCUGACGGUACCCAAAGAAUAAGCACCGGCUAACUUCGUG
rnacentral:rRNA from 1 species